rnacentral:rRNA from 1 species
UUCUUAGUACGAGAGGACCGGAAUGGACAAACCAAUGAUGUACCAGUUGUUACGCCAGUAGCAUCGCUGGGUAGUCACGUUUGGAAAGGAUAAACACUGAAAGCAUCUAAGUGUGAAGCCUACUUCAAGAUGAGUGCUUAUGAAGACCUUAUAGACUAUGAGGUUGAUAGGUAGCAGGUGUAAGUUUUGUAAGAAAUUAAGCUGAGCUAUACUAAUAUCUUCUAA